AAAGCGCGCGUAGGUGGUUUGUUAAGUUGGAUGUGAAAUCCUCGGGCUCAACCUGGGAACUGCAUUCAAAACUGACUGACUAGAGUAUGGUAGAGGGUGGUGGAAUUUCCUGUGUAGCGGUGAAAUGCGUAGAUAUAGGAAGGAACACCAGUGGCGAAGGCGACCACCUGGACUAAUACUGACACUGAGGUGCGAAAGCGUGGGGAGCAAACAGGAUUAGAUACCCCGGU
rnacentral:rRNA from 1 species